rnacentral:rRNA from 1 species
CUAAUACAUGCAAGUCGAGCGGACGACGGGAGCUUGCUCCCUUAGGUCAGCGGCGGACGGGUGAGUAACACGUGGGUAACCUGCCUGUAAGACUGGGAUAACUCCGGGAAACCGGGGCUAAUACCGGAUGCUUGAUUGAACCGCAUGGUUCAAUCAUAAAAGGUGGCUUUUAGCUACCACUUGCAGAUGGACCCGCGGCGCAUUAGCUAGUUGGUGAGGUAACGGCUCACCAAGGCGACGAUGCGUAGCCGACCUGAGAGGGUGAUCGGCCACACUGGGACUGAGACACGGCCCAGACUCCUACGGGAGGCAGCAGUAGGGAAUCUUCCGCAAUGGACGAAAGUCUGACGGAGCAACGCCGCGUGAGUGAUGAAGGUUUUCGGAUCGUAAAACUCUGUUGUUAGGGAAGAACAAGUACCGUUCGAAUAGGGCGGUACCUUGACGGUACCUAACCAGAAAGCCACGGCUAGCUACGUGCCAGCAGCCGCGGUAAUACGUAGGUGGCAAGCGUUGUCCGGAAUUAUUGGGCGUAAAGCGCGCGCAGGCGGUUUCUUAAGUCUGAUGUGAAAGCCCCCGGCUCAACCGGGGAGGGUCAUUGGAAACUGGGGAACUUGAGUGCAGAAGA